AUUUACAGCAGUUGCAGAUGCUAUUCGCACCAGUUUAGGGCCUCGGGGGAUGGAUAAGAUGAUUCAGACUGGCAAUGGAGAAGUGACAAUCACCAAUGAUGGAGCAACAAUUCUGAAACAGAUUA